AAAGAAAAAGGUGGAAUGGGAUUUCGAGAUAUUCAUUGUUUUAACCUAACCCUGCUUGCGAAACAGGCUUGGCGAUUAAUUGAUAAUUCAGAUUCCCUUAGUGACCGUGUUCUCAAAGCCAAAUAUUAUCCAAAUUGUGAUAUUUUUAAUGCAACUCUGACAAAGAGAGCCCCAUUCACAUGGCAAAGUAUUAUGUCAGGGGUGCAUAAACUAAAGAGAGGUCUGAUACGUCUCCAACGUAUCUAUAAUUUUUGA
rnacentral:rRNA from 1 species